rnacentral:rRNA from 1 species
GGCGAACGCUGGCGGCGUGCUUAACACAUGCAAGUCGAACGGAAAGGCCCUGCUUUUGUGGGGUGCUCGAGUGGCGAACGGGUGAGUAACACGUGAGUAACCUGCCCUUGACUUUGGGAUAACUUCAGGAAACUGGGGUAAUACCGGAUAGGAGGUCCUUCCUCAUGGUGGGGGUUGGGAAAUUUCGGCGGUUGGGGAUGGACUCGCGGCUUAUCAGCUUGUUGGUGGGGUAGUGGCUUACCAAGGCUUUGACGGGUAGCCGGCCUGAGAGGGUGACCGGCCACAUUGGGACUGAGAUACGGCCCAGACUCCUACGGGAGGCAGCAGUGGGGAAUAUUGCACAAUGGGCGGAAGCCUGAUGCAGCAACGCCGCGUGCGGGAUGACGGCCUUCGGGUUGUAAACCGCUUUCGCCUGUGACGAAGCGUGAGUGACGGUAAUGGGUAAAGAAGCACCGGCUAACUACGUG